GUAACGAAUUUAUCUAAAGCAAGUGCUGUAAUAAUUUUAUUUCUUGUUCCUGUUGAGACUUCCUUGCUGGCUUUUCUCUCUGAUGAUUUUUUCGGACCAUUCUGCCCAAGGGCUUACUCAAGAAAGGUAAUAAUUAUGUCUAAUAAAAUGACUGGCUUAGUUAAAUGGUUCAAUCCUGAAAAAGGUUUUGGGUUUAUCACCCCUAAAGAUGGCAGUAAAGAUGUGUUUGUACACUUUUCUGCUAUCCAGAGUAAUGAUUUCAAGACGCUGAAUGAGAAUCAGGAAGUUGAGUUUAGUGUUGAACAGGGACCUAAAGGCCCCUCAGCAGUUAAUGUCGUGGUUGUAUAAGGUAACUGUUAUUACACA
rnacentral:sRNA from 1 species